rnacentral:rRNA from 1 species
AGAAUCAACGCUGGCGGCGUGCCUCAGACAUGCAAGUCGAACGCGAAAGUCCCCUUCGGGGGCAAGUAGAGUGGCGCACGGGUGAGUAACACGUAGGUAAUCUACCUUCGGAUGGGGAAUAACAAUCGGAAACGGUUGCUAAUACCGCAUAAUGCAGCGGCACCUAAUGGUGACAGUUGUUAAAGCGGGGGAUCGAAAGACCUCGCGUCUGAAGAGGAGCCUGCGGCGGAUUAGCUAGUUGGUAAGGUAACGGCUUACCAAGGCGACGAUCCGUA